UUUCCGUAGGUGAACCUGCGGCAGGAUCAUUAUUGUAUAACCGAGGUGCGAGGGCUGUCGCUGACCCGAAAUGUCGUGAACGCCCGAGUGCCCUCACACACUUCAAUCUCACCCCUAUGUGCACCACCGCGUGGGUCCCCCUUUGGGUGGUUCGGCGGGGGGCUUACGUUUUCACACAAACUUUGUAUGCAGUGUAUAAUGUAUUUUUUGUUUUUGCGAUCACGCAAUCAAUACAACUUUCAACAACGGAUCUCUUGGCUCUC
rnacentral:misc_RNA from 1 species